rnacentral:rRNA from 1 species
ACGAACGCUGGCGGCGUGCUUAACACCUGCAAGUCGAACGGAAAGGCCCUGCUUUUGUGGGGUGCUCGAGUGGCGAACGGGUGAGUAACACGUGAGUAACCUGCCCUUGACUUUGGGAUAACUUCAGGAAACUGGGGCUAAUACCGGAUAGGAGCUCCUGCUGCAUGGUGGGGGUUGGAAAGUUUCGGCGGUUGGGGAUGGACUCGCGGCUUAUCAGCUUGUUGGUGGGGUAGUGGCUUACCAAGGCUUUGACGGGUAGCCGGCCUGAGAGGGUGACCGGCCACAUUGGGACUGAGAUACGGCCCAGACUCCUACGGGAGGCAGCAGUGGGGAAUAUUGCACAAUGGGCGGAAGCCUGAUGCAGCAACGCCGCGUGCGGGAUGACGGCCUUCGGGUUGUAAACCGCUUUCGCCUGUGACGAAGCGUGAGUGACGGUAAUGGGUAAAGAGGCACCGGCUAACUACGUG